rnacentral:rRNA from 1 species
UACGGAGGAUGCGAGCGUUAUCCGGAUUUAUUGGGUUUAAAGGGUGCGCAGGCGGAGGUGCAAGUCAGUGGUCAAAUUGCGGGGCUCAACCCCGUACUGCCGUUGAAACUGCAUCCCUUGAGUGCGCGAGAAGUAUGCGGAAUGCGUGGUGUAGCGGUGAAAUGCAUAGAUAUCACGCAGAACUCCGAUUGCGAAGGCAGCUUGCUAAUCCGCAUCUGACGCUGAUGCACGAAAGCGUGGGUAGCGAACAGG